rnacentral:rRNA from 1 species
GAUCCUGGCUCAGGAUGAACGCUAGCUACAGGCUUAACACAUGCAAGUCGAGGGGCAGCAUGGUCUUAGCUUGCUAAGGCCGAUGGCGACCGGCGCACGGGUGAGUAACACGUAUCCAACCUGCCGUCAACUCUUGGGCAGCCUUCUGAAAGGAAGAUUAAUACAAGAUGGCAUCAUGAGUUCACAUGUUCACAUGAUUAAAGGUAUUCCAGUAGACGAUGGGGA